UAGCCUUAUUAUCACUGUUUCCAAACUUACACAUGCAAGUCUCAGCACGCCCGUGAGAACGCCCUUUUAUCCUUCACCAGGCAAAGGAGCCGGCAUCAGGCACAGACUCUAGCCCACAACACCUAGUCUCACCACACCCCCAAGGGUAGUCAGCAGUGAUAAAUUUUGCGUAUGAGCGCCAGCUCGACUCAGUUAAGGAAAAGAGGGCCGGCUAACCCGGUGCCAGCCGCCGCGGCUACCCCGUAGGGCUCAAGUUGAUAAUCGUCGGCGUUAAGCGUGAUUAAAGUUUCUACAAAUUAGGGUUAAAUUAAUACUUAGUAGUUUUAAGCUUGUUAUUAAGAAGAACACACACGAAAGUUACCCUAAUUAUACUUGAACCCACGACAACUGG
rnacentral:rRNA from 1 species